rnacentral:lncRNA from 1 species
AAAAAAAUACCAAUUCAUUCAAAUUCAUAUGUUAAUAGAAUUUAAAAUUUUACAAUUUAUUUGAUUUUUUACUAAACACAAUUGUUUUUAUCAUGAAUUUACAUUUCAACCCCUCUAAAUACUUUGAAAUUCAAUUCGUGAACCAAACACGUUCUUACUUUCUUACUAUUGGACUCCACUUCCAGUAGUCGAUUUCAGAACUCCUUUCUUCAUUCCACAGCGUCAGACUCACAAGGGUAUGUGUCUUUGUUUUAGUACUUUUUACACCCUAAAUCCUAAUCUGAUAAUGAUAAUUAUGAUUUCAAUUUUCACCUUCCCAUCGACGUUGAUUCACGAUUUCAAUUUUCAUCCACGCCUCCAUCACUGUCAGUGGACUACUAUUGCAGCGACGAUGGCUGUUUAUGUGAAUUGCAGCCUGAUUUUGAAUUUGAAACUCAUAUUUUGAAACUGAAGUACAACUCUUAUAUGUUAAUUGCUAAAACUCAGAUUUUGGUUAAAUUAUGCCAGGAGUUCACAAUUGUAGAUGUUGGUCUUCCUAGUAACAAUAACCUAACUACAUUUGAAGGGGCUAGAUAGUUAACCAUCAACUAAUAAAUUUCCAAUAGUUCCACAUGUUGUUUUGAAUUUGAUUUGCCUACAUACAUGUUUUAGUUACAUAAAAAGGGUCAGGGAAGGGAGGAUGAAUUUUGCAACCUCAUUGUGUAUGAGAUUAAUUGUUAGCAACUUGGUUACUAGAAUCCCUGUUUACACCUCUGCAAGUGGUAUAACUCUUACAUAAAAUCCUUUCUAUUUUGCAUUUAUCUUGUGGUAACAUAACAUUUAUUUGAAACUGAAUCGUGCAUAGAUGUAUCUGGAGAUAGAUUAAGCAUGAUAUUCAGACGCUAGGCCACCAAAGAAACAACAUGCUCCACAAAAAAUGGACGCGACUCAAAACCCAAGAUGCUUGGUGUCAAGAAGUUCGGUGGUGAGGUUAGUAUCUAAAUUUGUAUUGUAUUAAAUUUUAUUUCUUUUUUCUAUUUUGUUAAUAUUUGGGAAAUUUAUACAAAGUGUGAUACCUGGGAAUAUCAUUGUAAGACAAAGAGG